rnacentral:rRNA from 1 species
ACCCGCUGAACUUAAGCCGGAGGAAAAGAAACCAACAGGGAUUGCCCUAGUAACGGCGAGUGAAGCGGCAACAGCUCAAAUUUGAAAUCUGGCGUCUUUGGCGUCCGAGUUGUAAUUUGCAGAGGGCGCUUUGGCAUUGGCAGCGGUCCAAGUUCCUUGGAACAGGACGUCACAGAGGGUGAGAAUCCCGUACGUGGUCGCUAGCCUUUACCGUGUAAAGCCCCUUCGACGAGUCGAGUUGUUUGGGAAUGCAGCUCUAAAUGGGAGGUAAAUUUCUUCUAAAGCUAAAUACUGGCCAGAGACCGAUAGCGCACAAGUAGAGUGAUCGAAAGAUGAAAAGCACUUUGGAAAGAGAGUUAAAAAGCACGUGAAAUUGUUGAAAGGGAAGCGCUUGCAGCCAGACUUGCCUGUAGUUGCUCAUCCGGGUUUUUACCCGGUGCACUCUUCUAUAGGCAGGCCAGCAUCAGUUUGGGCGGUUGGAUAAAGGUCUCUGUCAUGUACCUCUCUUCGGGGAGAACUUAUAGGGGAGACGACAUGCAACCAGCCCGGACUGAGGUCCGCGCAUCUGCUAGGAUGCUGGCGUAAUGGCUGU